GAGACUAUUGAUAAGAAUGGGUUUAGGUGCACAACACCGUACCGAAACAAAACCCUUAAGAAGGGGACAAGGGACCCUGGAGCCAAUUGCUCAACUCGCUUCCCUUGCAAAGAACAGAAACUGCUGUUGCUUCGAUCAUCAGACAGAAAGGAGAAGAUGAUGAUGGAAUAGUCCUACUCUACUUAUGACAAUAUGACUAUGAAACUCACCACCAGCAAACUCCCCAUGGAACUCGACCUCGACUCUUUCCUCAACUUGCACUCCGACUCCGACGACGACUCCACCGCCGUCCCUCACCGCACCCUCGAUGAAAUUCUCAACGACUCCGAUUCUUCCACGUCUACCUCCCCUCCGUCUUCCCCAUCAUCCUUAAAAAUCAACCAAUCUCGCCUCUCUGAUCUUCCCCUUUCCCUGAACGACGCAGUCUCAGAUGACUCCACAGGAUCCCUAAAGCGCACCCAGUCUCAGCUUUUGGGUGAUAAUUCUGACCAGACACGACCCAAUUCUUUUACUCGGGUUAAGUCUGGUGGGUUAUCGGCUGAUUCGGUAUGGAGGGCUUCUUCUUCAUCGAGACCCUUGCCGUCUUUGUUCGGUGGGGUGAGAUCAAACGCGAAGCCAGGGGCUGCGCUUGCUGCAGCAGCGGCAGCGUCUCGGUCGGUGCCGACCCCGCAUGCUGCCGCGAUCAAGUCGAGAAGGGCUGUCAGUCUCCGGAAGGUUAUGGACACUGGAAAAUCGAGUUCCCUCGUUGGUGAUGAUCACGAGAUUGUUUCAAAUUCAUCCACUGGGGACUCAAUUGUAGCUGCUACGGAGAGAAACAGGUCUGAUGGUAAAUUGGCUGCCGAAGAUGAUAACGCGGGUGAUUAUCAAUCUGCUUUGGAAGAUGAAAUUUCCGCAAGAGAUAGGAAUUUGGAGACUACAACUGAGGUUUUUCCUAGUAAAGAUUUGGCAGGUGAAGUAGAAGCUGCCGAUAAAAUGGAGGAAUUAAGGAUAACUAACUAUGAGCAAGAUGCCACUACUUCAAUAUCCAACUCGACCGUUUACUUACAUUUGGACGACGGCUCCAAAAAUUUGGGUUCAGAUGAUAGAAAAGAUGAAAUGAUAGCAACUGUUUCUUCUGAUGAAGAUUCUAAGUUUGUGGAUGUGAAUGAUUCUUGCGAAGUGGAUAUUCUGUCCUCUUCUAGGGAUGAUGACCAUGGAAAGUGUGAGUUGAAUUCGACAAUGAUGCCACUGGAAGAGGGAGAUUAUUUGGAGAAAGAUCUGCAGAGCUCUAAAGAUGAUGAGUCUGGUAUUACUACUGGUGGCGGUGAUGAUGCCAGUUCAAUUAGUGAAAUUUCGGAGCUUGUGGAGGAGAGAAUUGAGCAACUGGAGAGUGAGAGGAUUAGUAAAAGAGCACAAAAGAAACUCAGGUCCACUAUGAAGCCACUUGAAUUGGCAGAAGAACUUGAGAAGAAGCAGGCUUCUACCGGUUUGCAUUGGGAGGAGGGUGCAGCUGCUCAGCCAAUGAAGCUUGAGGGUGUUCGGAGAGGAUCUACUACUUUGGGAUACUUUGAUAUUGAUGCUAGCAAUGCCAUUACCCGAACCAUUGCAUCUCAAGCAUUUCGGCGAGAUCAUGGUUCCCCACAAGUCCUGGCAGUUCAUCUUAACUACAUUGCAGUGGGAAUGGCAAAAGGCGUUAUUGUUGUCGCUUCAAGUAGAUACUCUUCUUACAGUACUGACAACAUGGAUUCAAAGAUGCUAAUACUUGGUGUCCAAGGAGAUAGAUCUCAUGCCCCAGUAACUUCCAUGUGCUUCAAUCAGCAAGGGGACCUGCUCUUGGCUGGUUAUGGUGAUGGUCACAUUACUGUUUGGGAUGUCCAGAGGGCAUCAGCUGCUAAAGUCAUAACUGGGGAGCAUAUGGCGCCAGUAGUACAUGCAUUGUUCCUAGGCCAGGAUUCUCAAGUUACUCGUCAAUUUAAAGCAGUUACUGGUGAUAGUAAAGGUCUGGUUCUUUUACAUGCUUUCUCAGUGGUUCCUUUGCUUAACAGGUUCACCAUCAAAACACAGUGUCUUCUUGAUGGACAAAGAACAGGCACUGUACUAUCUGCUUUGCCCCUUCUUUUUGAUGAAUCUGUUGGAGGCGCUUUGCCAUCAUCACAGGGAAAUGCUUCACUUUCAUCCAGCAGCAUUGGUAACAUGAUGGGAGGUGUAGUUGGGGGAGAUGCAGGAUGGAAACUAUUCAAUGAGGGCUCUUCUAUGGCUGAAGAAGGUGUGGUCAUAUUUGUCACCCAUCAAACUGCUCUGGUGGUAUGAAGUCCUCGGAUGAUUGCGCAAAUUCCAUGUUAGGCUCACUCCCACUUUGGAAGUCUAUGCACAACUUUCCAAGCCAGAAGGAGUUCGGGAGGGUUCCAUGCCUUAUACUGCAUGGAAAUGUACUACACAAUCACGCAGUUCGUCAUCUGAAAAUAUUACUGCAGAUGUGGCAGAACGAGUUUCAUUACUUGCUGUUGCAUGGGAUCGGAAAGUUCAAGUUGCAAAGUUGGUUAAAUCAGAGCUCAAAGUAUUUGGAACAUGGUCCCUUGACAGUGCGGCAAUAGGCGUGGCUUGGUUGGAUGCUCAUAUGCUGGUGGUUCUCACAUUGACAGGACAGUUGUAUUUGUUUGCAAAGGAUGGUACUGUGAUUCACCAGACCAGCUUUGCUGUUGAUGGUUCUGGAGGGGAUGAUCAUGUUGCAUAUCAUACUCAUUUUAUAAAUAUCUAUGGGAAUCCUGAGAAAGCCUAUCACAACUGUGUAGCGGUAAGAGGAGCUUCUAUAUAUAUACUUGGUCCCAUGCAUCUUGUUGUUUCCAGGCUUCUCCCUUGGAAGGAACGGAUUCAGGUUUUGCGGAGAGCAGGCGACUGGAUGGGUGCCUUGAACAUGGCAAUGACACUUUAUGAUGGCCAAGCUCAUGGUGUUAUUGACCUCCCAAGAGCCGUGGAUGCUGUACAAGAAAUCAUAAUGCCUUACCUGGUGGAGUUGCUAUUGUCAUAUGUAGAUGAAGUAUUUUCUUAUAUUUCAGUGGCUUUUUGCAACCAAAUUGGAAAAGUGGAACAAGAUGACCAGAAGAGUGGAAGCGGUUCUGUGCACUCAGAAAUAAAAGAACAAUUCACUCGCGUUGGUGGUGUUGCAGUAGAAUUUUGUGUCCAUAUACAGCGGACUGACAUUCUUUUUGAUGAAAUUUUCUCCAAGUUUGUGGCAGUUCAACAUAGAGAUACAUUUUUGGAGCUUUUGGAGCCAUAUAUAUUGAGAGAUAUGCUUGGAUCCCUACCUCCUGAGAUUAUGCAAGCUCUAGUAGAGCAUUAUAGCAGCAAAGGGUGGUUGCAACGAGUUGAACAAUGUGUCCUUCACAUGGACAUUUCUUCCUUGGAUUUCAAUCAGGUUGUCAGGCUAUGCCGUGAGCAUGGAUUAUACGGUGCCUUGGUGUAUCUUUUCAAUAAAGGAUUGGAUGAUUUCAGAGCACCUUUAGAGGAGUUGUUAUUAGUUUCACGAAGUAGUGAUAGAGAGAGUGCUGUUGCCCUUGGGUACAGGACGCUUGUUUAUCUGAAGUAUUGCUUUUCAGGUCUUGCCUUUCCACCAGGGCAUGGAGCUCUUCCUCCUACACGUUUGCCAUCUCUUAGGACAGAACUUGUUCAGUUUUUAUUAGAGAAUUCGAGUGCCUUGAAUUCACGAGUUGUGUUGGGCUUGUCAUCAAGAGGAACAUAUCUGAACCUGUACCAUCUCUUAGAAUUAGAUACUGAAGCAACUUUAGAUGUUCUGAGGUUGGCUUUUAUGGAUGAUGAAAAUCCAAAACCUGAAUUCACUUCACAUGAUGUUGCUAAUAUAAAUAUGGAAAAUGAGCAGGAAAAUAUUACAACAAUUGAAAGUCAGAAUAUAUUGGUUCAAAAUACUCUAAAUGCUCUUGUUCAAAUCAUUGAAAAAGAUGCAUCCCAAGCAGCUGAACAUGCUAGUAGUGAUGAUACUGGAUCAGUUGAAGCGUGGCCUUCAAAGAGAGACAUAGGGAACCUAUUUGAAUUCAUUGCAUACCAUGUUGCAUGUAGAAAAGCUUAUGUUUCAAGCAGUGUGCUGAGUCAGAUUUUGGAGUAUUUGACAUCAGAGAGCAAUUUGUCAGCAAGUUUUCCUGCUCAUGUUAUCAAAACUUUAAAAAGGAGAGAGAAACAGGUGCUUGCGCUUCUGGAGGUAGUGCCUGAAACUGAUUGGAACUCAUCUUACGUGUUACAGCUAUGUGAGAAAGCACACUAUCACCAGGUUUGUGGCUUCAUUCACACUAUCAGAAACCAGUAUCUUGCUGCAUUGGAUAGCUAUAUGAAAGAUGUGGAUGAACCAGUUCAUACCUUCGCAUAUAUCAACAAUACAUUAAGGCAGCUAAGUGGCAAUGAACGCGAAGAUUUUCAAUCAGCUGUUAUGUCUCGGAUUCCAGAGUUGGUUGUGCUGAGCAGAGAGGGAACUUUCUUGUUAGUCAUUGACCAUUUUAAUAGCAACAAUUCACACAUCUUCUCUCAACUACACUCACAUCUGAAAAGCCUUUUUCUAUAUCUAAAGACGGUAAUUGAGGUUCACUUGUUUGGAACCCUCAAUUUUUCACAUUUAAAAAAGGAUGAUGUUCUAGAUGCUUUUAGUGGAAGGAGAGUGAAAGAUCAGUUGAAAGGACUUGAAGCUUACUUGGAAAGAAUCUCGGAAUUUCCAAAGUUUAUAAGGAAUAACCCUGUCCAUGUAGCUGAUGAUAUGAUAGAGCUUUAUAUGGAGUUAUUGUGUCAGUAUGAACGUGAUUCAGUUCUCAAAUUCCUAGAGACUUUUGAUAGCUAUCGGGUAGAACACUGUUUGCGCUUGUGCCAGGAAUAUGGCAUAACAGAUGCAGCUGCUUUUUUGUUAGAAAGAGUUGGUGAUGUUGGGAGUGCUCUUUUUCUGACACUUUCUGGCCUCAAUGAUAAAUUUGCUGUGCUUGAUACAGCUGUGGGAAGUGUGAUUUCAACUACAACUUUACGUGGCUCUGCUGGCAUUGAUUAUUACAGCACUGUUUUAAAAAUGAAAGAGGUUGAUGAAAUACGCAGUAUAUUGAACUCCUGUAUUGGUUUGUGUCAGCGAAACACCCCUCGUUUGCAACCUGAGGAGUCAGAGACACUAUGGUUCAGAUUACUUGAUUCUUUUUGUGAGCCUUUGAUGGAUUCACAUGCUGAUGAAAGGGUAUUGAAAGAAAGUCAUGUUGGAAUGCCAGCAGAAACAUUGGGUGAACAUGAGGAUGAUGAGCCCAUAAUCAAGUGGAAAAUCUCUAGGUCCCACAAAGGUGCCCAUAUCUUAAGGAAAUUGUUCUCUCAGUUCAUCAAAGAGAUUGUUGAAGGAAUGAUAGGAUAUGUUCGCCUUCCUACUAUCAUGUCAAAAUUGCUCUCUGACAAUGGUAGCCAGGAAUUUGGUGAUUUUAAAAUUACCAUAUUGGGGAUGCUUGGAACAUAUGGCUUUGAGAGGAGAAUUCUGGUAUUUGUUGCUUACAUAAACAGUCAUUGGGUUUUGCUUUAUGUAUCCGUGUUGCAGGAAUUCAUUCCUUUUCACCCUUUAUUUGUGCAUACAGUCAAUAGUGAUUUCUUUCGUUCUUUUUUUCUUUUUUUCCUUUUAUUGUGUUGCAAAUCAGUAAUUAUCAAUUCAAAUUAUUUGCUGUGAUGCUUUAGGAUACUGCCAAGUCCUUGAUAGAAGAUGAUACAUUCUAUACCAUGAGUUUACUCAAGAAGGGGGCAUCUCACGGGUAUGCCCCCCGGAGUCUCAUAUGUUGUAUAUGCAACUGCCUUCUCACCAAGGGUUCCUCUAGUUUCCAAAUUCAAGUUUUCAGUUGCGGUCAUGCAACUCAUCUUCAAUGUGAACUUCUGGAAAGUGACUCUUCAAGUAAAGGUUCCUUGUCUGGAUGCCCUGUUUGUAUGCCUAAGAAGAAUACCCAGAGACCUAGAAAUAAAUCAAUCCUUCCUGAGAAUGGUUCAGUAAAUAAGGUUUCAUCAAGAUCAAAACGAUCACAAGGAACUAGCUUUUUACACCUGCAUGAAGAUUCAUUGGACAGUUCACAGCAAAUAUCGCGGUUUGAUAUAUUGACUAAUCUUCGAAAAGACCAGAAAUUAGUCCAGAUAGAGAACAUCCCUCAGUUAAGGCUUGCCCCACCAGCUGUUUAUCAUGAAAAGGUGAAAGAAGGACCUGAGCUUUUGACAGGAGAGAGUAGCAGCGGUGCUGCAAAAAUUGAAAAACCGAGCAAAAGGAGGCAACUCAGGGAGCUGAAAGUGACAGGGUCAUCUCUUCGGUUUCCAUUAAAAUCAAGUAUAUUUGGCAAGGAGAAGAUGAAUAAAAGGUGACUGCUGUUUUGUAAAGACUAACAUUGGUAGAGAUUCCAUAGCUGCAUUUCAACAGGCUGAUGAAUUUUGCUGAUUCGAAAUACAACGUUUGUCUGGCUGAGUUUUUGAUCCCUAAUUCAUUACAUGGAAGUAUAUAUAAUAAUGUUACUCACUGAUCAUUUAUGCUAUGAUUCAGCUUAACUACAAUGAACUUGAGGACAGAAUUAAGGACAUAAAGGCUUCAUGACUGAUAUUAUAAUAUAUUAUUGAUGAGUAUUGUGCAUUGAUUUAUAGUCUUAAUAUGCGUAUGUGAAAAAAUGAA
rnacentral:misc_RNA from 1 species